rnacentral:rRNA from 1 species
UACAGAGGGUGCGAGCGUUAAUCGGAAUUACUGGGCGUAAAGCGCACGUAGGCGGCUUGGUAUGUCGGGUGUGAAAUCCCCGGGCUCAACCUGGGAACUGCAUCCGAAACUGCCUUGCUCGAGUAUGGGAGAGGGGAGCGGAAUUUCCGGUGUAGCGGUGAAAUGCGUAGAUAUCGGAAGGAACAUCAGUGGCGAAGGCGGCUUCCCGGACCAAUAAUGACGAUCAGGUGCGAAAGCGUGGGGAGCAAACAGG